GACGGAGGGUGCUAGCGUUGUUCGGAAUGACUGGGCGUAAAGGGCGCGUAGGCGGCCGCUUGCGUCGGAUGUGAAAGCCCGGGGCUCAACCCCGGAACUGCAUCCGAUACGGGGCGGCUCGAGACCGAGAGAGGUGAGUGGAAUACCCAGUGUAGAGGUGAAAUUCGUAGAUAUUGGGUGGAACACCGGUGGCGAAAGCGGCUCACUGGCUCGGUUCUGACGCUGAGGCGCGAAAGCGUGGGGAGCAAACAGG
rnacentral:rRNA from 2 species